GACCCGAUCCCUCCCGCGUGCCCGAGUGAUGGAGGGGAAGACAUUCGCUUAGACACACACACGCGCGCACACAGCUGGGCACGUCUCCCGGAGGCAGCCGCCGGGGGCCGGGCGGCGGCCUGACAGCAGCAGCCGCGGGGAGCCGGGCGCCCACAUAGCUUGGCCCCGGCGGCUCCAAGACCCAGGAAGGGAAGAUCCCAGCCUCACUGAUUGUUGCUCUUUUAGGCAGAUCGGGAGGAAGCAGGCUGCCCGAGGAUCUGUCACCGCGGACGCAGGAGGCUCUCCGCUCGGCGCUCAGAGUCCAGGGCCGCGCCGGUGCAGGCGUUGGGAGAGGAGGAUGCUCACCUCCGCCCGCAGAGCGUCUGCGGGCCCUGACACUGCGCGGACUCCGGCUCCCGCGGCAGCCCCUGUUGUGCCCGCGCCGCGGGAGCGCGCCCUGUCGUACCUGCCUCCAGCCUCUCCGGGAAGUGCAGGAAACGCGCCCUAAACUCCACUACUUCUCGCCCGCCUCCUCCCCUUCUCGGCUCCCCGCCCCGGACCUCGCAGCCGCCGGCGUGUAGGACCCGCCCGCCUCUUACUCUCACGCGCGCACGCACUGCCCCGCUCGCUCGCUCCCAUUCAAGCAGACUGGCUCUCGGUGCAGCCAAAGCCCCGGGCGUCCGAAACUACUGGACCAACUGCCACCGGGACUGCAGGAGGCACCCGUGGCCCGGCGCGACUCUUCGCUGGUCCCCGCGCCCUGGACUCUCGGCCGCGCCGCCGCCGCCGCCGGAGACCUUGCAUGAUUGCACUCCCAUCAGAAACAUGUGAGAGUUUCAAGUGGUUCUAUCACAUUCCCAUCAAGAAUACAGGUAUUUGUUGUUCA